AGCGAACGCUGGCGGCAGGCCUAACACAUGCAAGUCGAACGAACUCUUCGGAGUUAGUGGCGGACGGGUGAGUAACACGUGGGAACGUGCCUUUAGGUUCGGAAUAACUCAGGGAAACUUGUGCUAAUACCGAAUGUGCCCUUCGGGGGAAAGAUUUAUCGCCUUUAGAGCGGCCCGCGUCUGAUUAGCUAGUUGGUGAGGUAAAGGCUCACCAAGGCGACGAUCAGUAGCUGGUCUGAGAGGAUGAUCAGCCACAUCGGGACUGAGACACGGCCCAAACUCCUACGGGAGGCAGCAGUGGGGAAUCUUGCGCAAUGGGCGAAAGCCUGACGCAGCCAUGCCGCGUGAAUGAUGAAGGUCUUAGGAUUGUAAAAUUCUUUCACCGGGGACGAUAAUGACGGUACCCGGAGAAGAAGCCCCGGCUAACUUCGUG
rnacentral:rRNA from 1 species